rnacentral:rRNA from 1 species
UACGGAAUGUGCAAACGUUAUUCGGAAUCACUGGGCUUAAAGAGUCCGUAGGCGGCAUGUUAGGUGAGGUGUGAAAUCCCCCGGCUCAACCGAGGAAUUGCGCUUCAAACCGGCGUGCUUGAGGAAGAUAGAGGUGGGCGGAACUGAUGGUGGAGCGGUGAAAUGCGUUGAUAUCAUCAGGAACACCGGUGGCGAAGGCGGCAUCCUGGACCGACACUGACGCUGAGGAGCGAAAGCCAGGGGAGCAAACGGG